GACAGAGGGUGCAAACGUUGUUCGGAAUUACUGGGCGUAAAGCGCGUGUAGGCUGCUUCGCAAGUCGGGUGUGAAAGCCCUGGGCUCAACCUAGGAAGUGCACUCGAAACUGCGAAGCUUGAGUCCUGGAGAGGAAGGCGGAAUUCUCGGUGUAGAGGUGAAAUUCGUAGAUAUCGAGAGGAACACCGGUGGCGAAGGCAGCCUUCUGGACAGUGACUGACGCUGAGACGCGAAAGCGUGGGGAGCAAACAGG
rnacentral:rRNA from 1 species